rnacentral:rRNA from 1 species
GGCGUAAAGGGCUCGCAGGCGGUUUCUUAAGUCUGAUGUGAAAGCCCCCGGCUCAACCGGGGAGGGUCAUUGGAAACUGGGAAACUUGAGUGCAGAAGAGGAGAGUGGAAUUCCACGUGUAGCGGUGAAAUGCGUAGAGAUGUGGAGGAACACCAGUGGCGAAGGCGACUCUCUGGUCUGUAACUGACGCUGAGGAGCGAAAGCGUGGGGAGCGAACAGGAUUAGAUACCCUGGUAGUCCACGCCGUAAACGAUGAGUGCUAAGUGUUAGGGGGUUUCCGCCCCUUAGUGCUGCAGCUAACGCAUUAAGCACUCCGCCUGGGGAGUACGGUCGCAAGACUGAAACUCAAAGGAAUUGACGGGGGCCCGCACAAGCGGUGGAGCAUGUGGUUUAAUUCGAAGCAACGCGAAGAACCUUACCAGGUCUUGACAUCCUCUGACAACCCUAGAGAUAGGGCUUUCCCUUCGGGGACAGAGUGACAGGUGGUGCAUGGUUGUCGUCAGCUCGUGUCGUGAGAUGUUGGGUUAAGUCCCGCAACGAGCGCAACCCUUGAUCUUAGUUGCCAGCAUUCAGUUGGGCACUCUAAG